UUAGCAAGCACGUUCUCCAGACUGUAAACCUCAGAAGACACGACCUGCCAGGGACAAAAAUUUAAGAGGUGCGAAAAAAAACCCAAGUGAGACAUUAUUCCAAAGAAUUCAGGUCUCCUGUGUCACAGGGGCCUUGCAAAGGUGAAACAGUGUCAGUAACCUUCAAGGCACACAAAGAGGUACCAGCAAACUUGCCCUUCUGAUGUUCAGAAUGGUGCAGGUGAAGCUGCAAUCCAUAGCCUGGUGGAUUUUCGGUCCACGCCUGGCAAGAUGACUGAUCCGUCACAGGAUGGCUUUUUAACGGGGUUGAGAUUCACUACGAGCCACCACAUCUUUUUCAACAGAGAGCUUCAACAGCCACAAUACCUUGUCACUUCAGAGACACCUGGAUUUCUGCGGCUAUCUUUGUCCAUAAAUGAAUUAUGGCUAGGGCACAAGGACAAUUUAAUUAGCAGCUGAUCCGGGUUAUUGGGCUAUGUGCCAAACUUCAAGCCAACUUCUUAGAGGACUCGAUAUCCUGGGUUCCCGCGGCCGAGAGAAGGAGGAAAGAUCUGCCCCGCCACCCACACACUGAAAAGACGACGAAGCACGGGAAGACUCCCACCUCAAAUCACCCGAGUCCCCCGAGAUUCGCAUUUAUUCUCCAAUCUACAAGGGGAGAAGCACAAUCUGAGCAGGGCUCUUAGGCAGCCUUCAAGGCUAGGUGGCUGCUGACACACCAGGAUCGAGAUCCUCUUUUGUACAGAGAAAAAAAUGCUGAAAGACAAAGGCAAACACAGACAAAAAAAGCCCAAGAAAACGUGUGUGGUUUGUGCCACCCCCUCCUCCACCCCCCUGCCCUGCACACUCCAGGCCAGGCCGCUCCCGGUGUUUCAGGGAGGGGAGACCCUGCACUCAGACUGGCUCCUCUUCUGAUGCGACCUGCUUCGACAUGCUGUCGUCAUUCCGGCCAACGAGGAAGGCAGCAAGGCCACCUCAGCACGUGUCUGCUCCCUUCCCCACUCCCCUGACAAGAGCUGGGCGGUCAGUCUACACACAUGGAAGACAGAGGGCACCAAAAAGCUCUGUGAAUAAAACUUUAAUAAUGUACAGCAGAAAUUGGACAGGCUCAUUCUUAUAUUAAAACAAAAGAUUUCCUAUAUUACAACUUAUUUACAUUUGCAUACUGAAGAGGUAAAGUGUCUAAGUGGCUAUUUUACAGUCCUUUCUAAUAAAAUGUACAAAAACAAACAGAAGUACCGAGAAUGCCGUUCGGGGGCCUUGAUGGCGACGUAAGAACGGGCUUUGACUUGGUCUGUGAAUCCAGAAUCCAGAGGUGUAGGUAGCCCUACGGAUCAGGGUUAGUUAGCCCCAGGGGCCAAACACCACGGCUUUAGGCUUUAGUUUCUCCCCAACUCUCUAACUCCUAACCCUUGGUGUUAAGAGCGAUGGGGACAGGGGUGGGAGCUUCCCAAAAAACCGCUCAGUCUUCCCCGAGGUGUGGUGAGGCCAGGAGGUCCCCCUGGGGAGAGGGCUAGAGGCUUGGGAGUCCCUGGGUCGAGGAGUGUUGGCAGAUCCCAGAGGCUGGUUGUGACCGGGGCACAGGAGUCUAAGUUCCAUUACCACCCACACCCUGCCUGGGUCUGCUGCAGAGCAGGUAGGUGGGGGGUCAGCAGGGCUGGGGAAAGAAGGUCCCCCUAAUGACACCAUUGGUAUUCAAGGGAAAUUAGUCAGUAGCCAGCAAACUGGCCCAAAGGGUGAGGCGAAGAUCUCCUUUAACGCAAGGGAAGAAGCAACACGUCAGGAAAAUAAAUAGGAAGACCGGGAGCAUCUGGGAGACCCGUGUAAGCAGGGAGAGGCGUGCCCCUCCUCCACAAGCUUUGGCAGAGAAUCACUGGGCUGGAGGCAGGCAUGCUCUCAGGCUGCAGACAUCAUAUGCCUCCCCUGGGGGCAGGAAGGGGGCUCAGAAUGAAUGCAGUAAUUUAGGGUCUCACUGCCCACUGCAGGGCUCUUUGGGGGUAUGGAGGGAUCCUGGUCCUUGGUGGUCUUUUCUAAGAGCAAUCAUUCCAGGCUCAAAAGGCUCUCAGAACCAACGGUACAAACUUCUGGUCUUGAAACAGGCACCCACUAACUUGACUCGGCAACUUCUUCAGUGUUCCAAGAGUAGGACCCAAGCCUGUCUUGCUCACAUACGUAUUCCAAGUGCCCAGCACAAUGCCUGACACACAACAGGUACGCAGCAAACAUCUGUUGAGUAAAUGCCUGGAGGAGAAGGCGCAACCGGCUGGACAAUGCACAAAAGGCCAGGGCCCUGAAGCAAAAACCACUCACAGAAUUGAGGGGUGGGGGGCACAGUGCAAGAGAGACUAACCUCCAGGGCAAAGAGGGAGGGACUCUCGCUGCUCGGUGGGAACAGGCUCAGGUGCAAGGACAAACAUUUCCAGUGUGACUGAGCUAUGUGCGCUUGAUUGGAGCAUUUUUUUUUUUUUUUGUGGUUGUUUUGUAGCAAUUUCUUUAAAAACAAAGAGGUAAUCAUCACAUAGAGAUGGUUUUCCUUUUAUAAAAA